rnacentral:rRNA from 1 species
CUGGUCGAGUGAAGUUGCGCGGAAAAUUACCGGGGCUAAACUAUACACCGAAAUUGCGGAUUUGCAUAGAAAUAUGUAAGUGGUAGAGGAGCAUUCUAUAGUAGGACGAAGCAUAAUCGAAAGGAUAUGUGGACGAGAUAGAAGAGAGAAUGCCGGAAUAAGUAGCGAAAGCAUGGUGAGAAUCCAUGCCAUCGAAAGUCUAAGGUUUCCUGGGGAAGGUUCGUCCGCCCAGGGUAAGUCGGGACCUAAGGAGAGGCCGAAAAGCGUAUCCGAUGGACAGCAGGUAGAAAUUCCUGCACUACGUAAUACUUAAAAGACAUAAAUGACACAGGAGUGGAAGAUAAGCGAGGAAGAGGAAAGACUCGUAUCGAAAGAUAUAGUGAAAAUUAAAGUAACGAAUUAUCAAGAAGCUAAUGGCGAGAAAAGUUUAUGGAUAUUGUAUUAAGUACCCGUACCGCAAACCGACACAGGUAGAUGAGGAGAAGAUCCUAAGAUGAGCGAGAGAAGCAUUGUUAAGGAACUCGGCAAACUGACCCCGUAACUUCGGAAUAAGGGGUGCUGGAGUAGAAUCCAGUCGCAGAGAAUAGUCCCAAGCAACUGUUUAACAAAAACACAGGUUUCUGCUAAAUCGAAAGAUGAAGUAUAGGAGCUGACACCUGCCCAGUGCUGGAAGGUUAAGGGAAAGAGUUAGACGCAAGUCGAAGCUUAGAACUAAAGCCCCAGUGAACGGCGGCCGUAACUAUAACGGUCCUAAGGUAGCGAAAUUCCUUGUCAGGUAAGUUCUGACCCGCACGAAAGGCGUAAUGAUUUGGGCGCUGUCUCGACAAUGUACUCGGCGAAAUUGUAGUACUAGUGAAGAUGCUAGUUACCUGCGACAAGACAGAAAGACCCCAUGGAGCUUUACUGCAGCUUGAUACUGGGUUUCGGUAAUUUAUGUACAGGAUAGGUGGGAUGCUAAGAAGUAUGUGCGCCAGCGCAUAUGGAGCAGACGUUGGGAUACCACCCUUAAAUUACUGGAAUUCUAACUAUAAGUCCUAAGCGGGCUUGAGGACAAUGUCAGGCGGGCAGUUUGACUGGGGCGGUCGCCUCCUAAAGAGUAACGGAGGCGCGCAAAGGUUUCCUCAGCGCGGACAGAAAUCGCGCGAAAGAGUGCAAAGGCAGAAGGAAGCUUAACUGAGAGACAGACAUGUCGACCAGAUACGAAAGUAGGUCUUAGUGAUCCGGUGGUUGUAAGUGGAAAUGCCAUCGCUCAACGGACAAAAGUUACCCUGGGGAUAACAGGCUUAUCUCCCCCAAGAGUUCACAUCGACGGGGAGGUUUGGCACCUCGAUGUCGGCUCAUCACAUCCUGGGGCUGUAUUCGGUCCCAAGGGUUCGGCUGUUCGCCGAUUAAAGUGGUACGCGAGCUGGGUUCAGAACGUCGUGAGACAGUUCGGUCCUUAUCUGUCGCAGGCGCAGGAUAUUUGAGGGGAGUUGACCUUAGUACGAGAGGACCAGGUUGAACUUACCAAUGGUGUAUCAGUUGUCAUACCAAUGGCACGGCUGAGUAGCUAAGUAGGGAAGGGAUAAACGCUGAAAGCAUCUAAGUGUGAAGCCCACCCCAAGAUAAGAUAUCCCAUACCGUAAGGUAGU